rnacentral:rRNA from 1 species
AGUGAACGCUGGCGGUAGGCCUAACACAUGCAAGUCGAACGGCAGCACAGUAAGAGCUUGCUCUUACGGGUGGCGAGUGGCGGACGGGUGAGGAAUACAUCGGAAUCUACUUUUUCGUGGGGGAUAACGUAGGGAAACUUACGCUAAUACCGCAUACGACCUACGGGUGAAAGCAGGGGAUCUUCGGACCUUGCGCGAAGGAAUGAGCCGAUGUCGGAUUAGCUAGUUGGCGGGGUAAAGGCCCACCAAGGCGACGAUCCGUAGCUGGUCUGAGAGGAUGAGUGGCCACCCGGGCAGUGAGAGACGGCCCUGACUCCGACGGGAGGCCGCAGUGGGGAAUAUUGGACAAUGGGGGCAAGCCUAAUACAGCACAACCGCGUGGGUGAAGAAGGACUUCCGGUUGUAAAGUCCUUUUGUUGGGAAAGAAAAACAGCAGUUUAAUACCCCGCUGUUCUGACGGUACCCAAAGAAUAAGCACCGGCUAACUUCGUG